UCCCCAUUCUUAUUCUGUCAGAGUACAUCAUUUUUAUUAAAUCAUUAACUAAUUGCAUUCUUUAAAUUGUUGAAGCAGUAAAUAUUGUUAUUUCUCAAGAAAUUCUUUUAAAAUUUAUCUUGGGUGCCUAAUGCAGAGAAAUGGCCAUUUUAUCCAGAGUCUUAGGUUACGUUAUUUUUCUUCAAUAAACAAGAAAAGAAUCAGAGAAACGACUUAAGAUAUAGAUCUAAAUCUAACAAAUGCCUACCUAAAAAUAAGCAAUUAGUACCAUUUGAAGAAAUUGUAUUUUCUUUAAUCAAAACACCAAAGUUCAGAAAAGGGUUAAAAAGGAAGUUAAAAACCAAAAUAUGUAGAUCAAAUAUAUUUACAAUUAGAUUAAACCAAAGAUUUAAAUCAAGUUAAUUAUACCAUUAAUCACAAAUUCCUAUCAAUUUUCAUUACAAAAAUUUACAAGAAAAUUAAUCGAAAUACUCUGAUAUAAAUACCCAAAGCCAAAAUAUUACUUCUGAUCUCGUCAUUGAAAAUAGAACUUAGCCACAACUAUGCCUCAACAACUUUUUUAUUUUAUUUCCAAGGACCAUAAGUAUAUUUUUUUUAUGAUAAACCUUCGAUUUGAUUAAACUUUCAAAGUAAUUAAUCUCAAAAAAGUUAAAGAAAGAAAUGAAGAAGCUGCGAGGAGUGCAUCAUUUAAAUGUAUCGUAUUGUAUUGCGAAGGAUAUAACAAAAGGGAAUCAGAUUAAACAGGGGACAGGAAGUGAAAGACAGUGGUACUAUAAAAUUAAUAUAAAACAGAAAGUGGAAUGCGAAAUAAAUAAGAAGAAUUGCAAACAGAACGAAAGAAUGUUUGUGAGAGAAGGAGUAUGAGAUAUCAGAGAGACAUUGUAUGAGUAAGAAAUAAAUGCAUGAAAGUAGAACAUUAGAAAAAUAAAUGAAGAAUUUUGCAGAAAAUAAAAUAAAAUCCAGUAAAUUAAACUAGAAAUGUUCGUAAUAUUCAGAAGACAAAAACAAGUUAUUUCGCUGAUAUUGAGACAAAACUCACAAGGACAAAUGAGAUGGUUUUCUAAACUACGUAAUAGACCUUAGAACAUUUAUUAACUAGAAAACCUUUCUGACCAAAUUUGAGUUGCAUUAAAUAUAACUGUAUGAGGUUGCCUAAAGGAUGAAAAGAUUCCAAAGAAUUCCAAAAAGACUGAAACUUUGCAAAUACAUAUCACCUAUAAAUUUUCGUCCUAUUUAGAUUUAUGUAGGAUAGUAUUUCUUAAAAUAAACCUAUUUCAGAUACAUUUCCAGAUUAACUCAUUUCUUCAAUUCAACAAAUAAACAGAUAUCAAGAUGAAGAAUUUCUCGCCGGUAAUUGGACAGCAAGAUCUAGACCUUACAGAGUAUAGUUUGGAAAAUUCUACAACGUGUAAUGUUAUCAUUUUUUCCGACAGACAUAUUUCAAGAGGAAGAUAGUGUUUCUUUUUCCUGUUACAAAACAAAUUUACGUGCUGUAUUUAAUUCUGAUCUUAAAGGUACGUUACUUGAAGGUAUGCUUUGGUAGGCUUCUUAGUUGUGAUCUUCCAACUUCACAUUGACACAAUAUAUCAACUACAUACUGUAGUAUUUGUGUCUAAGCGAUAUGAAAUAAUAUUGGCAGAAGAUACAUCUGUGUUGGUUAACAGACAGAAUACUGUUUUGGUAAUCUUUGCAGUUUCUAUUAUUGAUGACAAGAAAUAAAUUCCUGAGACGCAACUUUCAAAGCCCUCUUGAUAAACUUUUACGGUAUCUAUAAACAAGAAGUGCCUUUGAAUCAGAUUUAAAACGUUUGGGUGAUAUUGGAAACUACUCUUAAGCGGAGUGAGAUUGCCAAACGGUAUUGCCCUUGCGUCGGUAUUUUUUGUGGAUCUUUGCGUUCUGAGCCUUUGGGUGUGGACCAAAUUUGGGAGCUUUUGUCGGAUUUCAGUUUGUUGCAAGUAUUCAGGCGAGUUCUCCUCAUCUGAAGCUGAAAAAGAGAAAUGUGGAUUCGUGGUUGCUAGCGAUAAAAGGAAGAUGAGUUUUGCAUAUAACUGAAUUACCUCAAGUUUGCGCUUGUUAAUUUUGGCAGUGUGUGCUCGGACAUUGUCAUACUGUAUUAGUGUGCGCCUUCGAUUGACCAGUACCGAGUAACGGGUUUUCAAAGCAUCAUAUGCUCGCUGUAGUUUUUGAGUACAAAGAUUAGCAUUCACAGCUUGACUCUCUGGAACAAGCUCAAAGUGCAACACCCCUUCUUCAAAAGACCUUCUGUUCAAACUGCCCUUGUUUGACAACAGGUUCUAAAGCCUGGACGGAACGAAACCACUGAUUUCUCGUAAUAUUAUGAAAACAGAUCCAUUUUGCGUCCCAGUUACUAUUCGAUGUCAAAACGGACAUCUUGGGGAGUCACCAGCAUUUACUUGCAAAUGUUCACACGUUGUUGAGCUUGGCCACUGGUCAGUUCAUGAAGAACUUCUCGACAGCAUCUGAUCACAAAGCCGAGCUUAUGAAGGCAGCGAUUGAUGGUGCUUAAUGAAGGAUCAAAAUCUGCCGUAAAUGUACAAGUGAUUGUGAUUGGCUGUUGUUCAAUCAUUUCAAGCAAGGCCUCAGCUUCCACAACAGAAGGUCUCCCUAGCCUUGGUUUGUCUCUGAAGCUAGUGUCGCCUUCUUUGAAACGUUUGAGCCAGUUUUGUGCCACACAUUCAUUGAUAGUCCUUCGCCUUCUGCAUCAUUAAUUUCUUUUGCCACUGCCUUUGCCCGCGGUUCCAUUUUUCCACUGGUAGUGUAAAAUGGCUCUAAUUGCAAUUCUUUCACCGCUCGUUAUCAAAGCUGUAAAAUAAAGAAUUAACAAUUAAUGCUUAUAUAUUAUAUAUGAAAAUAAUGAAUAAACAAUUCAUCAAUGAUUGGGCAACAAGUUGUAUCAGACUAAUGAUAUAACAUGUAGAUUCAAGUUGCCAAAAAUCAUCAGUGAAAAUCCGAAAAACUCUUCAACUUUGCUAAAUUUGCUCGAUUGUAGUUAAAUAACAACAACAACAACAACAACAACAACAACAGUGCACAUAUAAACAGGUACAAAAAAGGAAAUAAGUGAUAUUUAAAUAUUUAUCCCCAGUUAUUGGUCAUGUCGUUCACUAAUAAACAACCUCAUUAGCCAACUUAUUGAUAUAUUCUUCCAACACAAUGAUUCAUUUGUGUUAUCAUGUGUUUGAGUGUGUGUUACUGUGCGUGUGCGCCCGUGUGUGGAAGUGUGUGUGAUCUCUUGAAUACUUUGUUAAUGCAAGUAAGUAUAUGACUGACGAUUACUUAAGAUAACUGAUACUUUUCAUUUGCAAUGUCUUCAUACUCUAAGCAGAAAAUAAUGCAACGUUUUACCAUUAUGAUGCCUAGCUCUUGUUAGCAUUACGAUAUUUCAUUCACCAAUGUACUGUGAUAUCAUUUUUGUACUAUUUUCUAUUAAACAAAUGUUUACAUUUUUUCUUCAUCUAUAAUGAUAUAUGUCUUCUUUUUAUUCCAGAUUACGCAUCGAAGAAAAGAAUAUAAGACGUUCUUGUAGAAAACGUGCAUUAAUGACAACGACUUUUGAAUUCAAAAUCAUACUAUUCGACGAAAAUGCCAAAUCUUCGGAAACACCAAAAUUACAUAUCACCAGCACUAUUUUAUUGCCUGAGAAAUUAUGAUAAUUAGUAGAAUGUAACACAUUUACCUCGAGCUGAUAGUAUCUCUAAUAUUGCAUUUUAUAUUUAAUAUUUCAUCCAGCUGCACUUAUGAUUCCAUUGAAUCAUUUUUCAUUGAAGACGAUUAUAAUCAAGAAAGUAAUGCAAUAUCAACUUGUCUACAAUACUAAGAAUAUUUCGCGAGUUUAUGUUUAAGCAAGCCUAACAUCUUAUUGUGAACCACAUUGACGACAAUAUAUUUUAACUUUUAUUACCUUUUUUUGACUCUUUUUCUUAAAACGGUUAGAGAAGGGAAGUUUAUUUAAUACACACGCAAUAACUGAUAGGUAGUACAUCGCGAACGUUGAACAGCAUAACUUUUUAUCACUUCAUACUUCCUUGCAUCUUUGUAAGAGUUAAAUAUAUUAAGUAUGAGAAAGAAUAUCGCCAUUGAUUUGCUGGUUCCACGAACUUUUCUGUGAUAUCGUCUUUAACAGGAUAUUUUUAUUAUUAUAUCCUUUGUGUUAUAUAUUUACAUUAGUAAGUGGCGUUUGUAUUUCACAAAUUAAACAUGACCUAUAAAAUAGUAGAUACUAUACGAACUGAGUGAUUAGCGAAUACGGGGUUUAAUUCAAGCGUUAAAAUUAUGCGAAAAGAAUAUUUGAUUACCAGCUGAAUAAUUGAUUUUCAAAUCCAAGUGAGGCUUAGAGUGUUAUUAUAUAAUUUAUAAAAAGUAAAAUGUUCGCUAAUUUUUUUUCACGCCAGAACUAUUAACUAUAUGAUCUUGAUACUAAGUUAGUCUCUGUCAAUAGUAUAUAUGAGCAGUGUACAUUUUGAAUUGUGAAACGCAACGUGUUAAUCAUGGCAGAAGCCAAUUUGAGUGGUAUUCCCAACACUACUGACGGUGGAUCUUCCCUAAAUGAGGAAAACAAAAUGGAAGCCUAUUCCGUACAUUUCUUCUUUUGGGGAAUCAUUGUUCCUGUUAUAGUUCUCUUUGGUCUAAUUGGCAACAUUCUAACAAUAAUUGUUCUUUGGCGAAAAGAAAUGCACUCCACUACAAUAUACUAUCUAAGAGCUCUUGUAAUCACGGACACGGCAAUAUUAGUUUUUGCAUUCCUUUUGCUUACACCUAUCAGUAUCUCUAACUAUACGAAGAGUUUAAAAUAUUUCAGAGAAAUUAUUUAUCCUAUGAUAUUUGUACCGUGUAAUUAUGUGGUAAUGACUGUUCAAACUAUAAAUGUAUGGAUUACUGUCAGUGUUACUAUUGAGCGGUAUAUUGCAAUUUGUCAUCCGUUUAUUUCUAUCCGACUACUAACUCGUUGCAAAGCUCUUACUGUGAUUGGAUUAACAACCGCUUUCUCAGUGUUGUAUAAUAUCCCACGUCUGUUUGGCACUAAAGCUAGCCCUUUGAAAUCGGGAGACGGUUACAUGAUUAUACCGACUGCAUAUGGCGAAUCAGAUAUAUACAAGGAAAUUUACAGUGGUUUAAUGUACUCCAUUCUGAUUUUCAUCAUUCCUUUACUUGUACUUUUCGUCCUCAACUUUCUACUCAUCAUUGAACUCAUGAAAAUGCGACAACGUCGAGUUGGAAUGAAUGUGGAAGAAGACAACGAAGCAAACAUGAGUCUUGUUCUGGUUCUAAUUGUUCUUAUCUUUAUUGUUUGUCAAACGCCAGGUUUAAUCGCCCAGUACGAGUUCCUCUCGCACCUUGUUUUGCUUAAAUGGCUAGCAGUUAGUAAUACUUUAUUUAUAUUUAAUUCUUCAGUAAAUUUCUUGGUUUAUACAGCAGUUGGUCGCAAGUUUAGAAAAGUCCUUUUUCGCACGUUCCGUCCAGUUCUCUUUAAAACUCUCGGUGCAUGCCGUGUAGAAUUGUCAAAUGAGGCGGAUACACGAACCACCAUGUAUGAAUUGACAGUACUGAAUGAUCAACAGCCAGAAACAGAUCAAACAGAGAGUGCCUGUCCAUGACAUUUCUCUAAAUACAAUUCAAAACUAUCUAAAUCUAUUGGCUAUUCCAUUCGUUGCUUCCCUUGUUGACUCCUGUUAAUCUAUAUAUGAAAUAUAAAUUAACAGGAGUUAAUGGAAUGCUUUAUAAUUGACAUUUCAAAAAGAAAAUUGCACUUUUCAAUGAAAGGAAUAAAAGACUGAAGCCACAACCGUUUGUCUAACACAGAAUGAAAAUAAACUGCUAUGGUAACAACAAAAUGGGAAGAUAAACGACAACGUUAUUUCGCAAAUUUAUAUUUUAAAAGCUUUGGAACUAUGAAAAUGUUUUGAUUUUGUUUUUUUAUGAUUUUUUUAAUUAAAGUUUUUGUCCUUUUCUUCAUAUUUUUCCUCCAACUUUUGAAAUGUGUUAAUUCGAAAUAUUACAAAAAUUUAUCAAGUUUAUUUAUUCGUGGUUUCAUUGGAAAAAGAGUAAAGUUUCGAAACCAUUAAGUAAUAAGAAGAAAAAUUGAAAAUGAAAUUUUAAACAAAUUGUUUUAUUUAAAGUCGAUGAGAAAAAAAAACUAUGGAUUUCAUGUGAAAGUGAUUAGAAUAUGUUUAAACAUGUAAACGUUUGUUAAAUAACGAAAUGCGCAAUCAGAUGUUUGUGUAUGGGACCAGUAUUCUGUAAAAUUUCAAUGACAGUGCUUUUCUGAUAAUUAUUUAACUCGUGAUGAAGUGAAAUAUGAUCGUCAGUUCAUUGUCCUUACAUGAUUUUCUUGAACAUGAUUUCCUUGAACAUCAAGAGAUUAAAGCAGAAAAUAUAGUUGUCUGUAACUUGACAAAGGUAGCAGCUUUUACUAUUCUUAUGUGAUAGAGCGCUUCUCCGCAAACAGAAAAAAAAAACAAUUGUAUCCAAGCACUGAAGUUGCAAUUGACAAUCGAUAAUCACAGCUCGAAAUUUUCUUUUUUUACUGUAGGAAAAACAGUAAUAAAUUUCAUAAGUAAAGUAUGUGUGAGUGUAAAUGCAAGGAAAUAUAUACACAUGCAAGCACACACACACGCAUACACAGACACACACACACACACGUGUGUGUGUAUGUGUGUGUGAGUAUGAUAACAGGUCGAUUUCAAGCCCCUUGGGUGUAGAACAUUUCCACAUCAUCAGAUAUCCGGACUUCGAUAAUCUCAUGGUAUGGGUAUAUUCAACGUCAACGAUAUUUUCAGAAAAAUAGAGCUCGUCAACCUCUUAUAAAGUACCAUUCAAAUUCAAU
rnacentral:lncRNA from 1 species